UCGGAUGAUCGGACGGUCGCGACGGCAUUUAAUGUCAUCGAGGAAAGUCCGGGCUCCAAAGGGCAAACCGCCAGGUAACACCUGGGCGCCGUGCAUCCACUCGUGGAUGCACGGCGACGGACAGUGCCACAGAAAACAAACCGCCGGCAUUGAAUCGCCGGUAAGGGUGAAAAGGUGAGGUAAGAGCUCACCGCACAAUCAGCAAUGAUUGUGGCAGGGUAAACCCCGGCCGGAGCAAGGCCAAAUAGGCGGCGAGGGAUGGCCCAUCCCGCUCAAGACGCCGCGGGUAGGCUGCUAGAGUGUGCGAGUGAUCGUAUACCGAGAGAAAUGACCGUCCGACUGGGAAACCAAUCGACAAAACCCGGCUUAUAGAUCAUCCAACUCA
rnacentral:RNase_P_RNA from 1 species